GGUGCUCAGGGUCAUGGCUCUCU
rnacentral:miRNA from 1 species